rnacentral:tRNA from 1 species
GGGGAUAUAGCUUAGUUGGUAGAGUAUCUGCUUUGCACGCAGGAGGUCCGCGGUUCGACUCCGCGUGUCUCC